rnacentral:rRNA from 1 species
CGGCAACAGCUCAAAUUUGAAAUCUGGCGCAAGCCCGAGUUGUAAUUUGUAGAGGAAACUUUGGUGCGGCCUUGGUCUAAGUUCCUUGGAACAGGACAUCACAGAGGGUGAGAAUCCCGUAUGUGGCUGAUGGCUUUAACCAUGUAAAGUUCUUUC